rnacentral:lncRNA from 10 species
GACAUGGCAGCCUUCAGUAGCAGUGACUCCUGCACUGACACCACCAGUAUGAGUGGGUAAGUUAGUGAUGGGACAGAAACACUUCUCAAGAUCUUCAGGCUUGGCCAAGGAUUAUCAGCCCAUGUGAAUAUGGAAUGAAAGAAGGCAAAGAGCGGUAUAGUUUGUUCUCUUCCUUUUCUGCAAGAAGUCUGGAAGUGUGUUGGCUGGUUGUGUCCCUCUGCAAACAAAGGCAGCGAGGAUCCAGCUCCUUCCCACUGUUCUGUGCUUCUACCCUUAGCAUGUGGUCUUUCUUAUCAGUCAGCCCUCAUUGUCUCCUGGUAGCAGGUCCAGGGAUCACAAGUAAAUGGUGACAUCUAUAGAAAAAC